rnacentral:lncRNA from 1 species
CGUUCCUUUAGGUCAUUAAUCCACCUGGGGUUGAGUUGUGUGUAUAGUGUGAAGUGCUGUCCCCUCUCCUUGUUCUCAGAUGAGGGCCAGCUACCCUGCACCCUGCCUGAAGAGCCCGGCUCCCCUGUUCACCCAUGCAGCUGCCCCCCGAGCCCCUCAGUAUCCUUCGUCAGGGGUCUGCUUCUCACCCUCUCUCUGGUUCCAGGUGGUCUGUCAGUCCCUGUGCCAGUACCACACUGUCUUCAUUAUCAUGGCUUCUACUUUUUAAAAAUCACCUGUAUUGAGGUAUACUUUAUAUGGAAUAAAUGCAUACACUUCAAGUGUGCAGUUUGAUACAUUUGGACAAGCAUAUAUAAUCUUGUAACGCUGCCCCAGUCAAGACUGAGAACAGUCCCAGCACCCUAGAAAGUCCCUGUGCUCUGCAGGCAGCCCCCGCUGCCCUCUCAAGCCCCCGGCCCGGUUUCUGCCACUGCAGACCGAGCAGCUCUGAGUGUCCUAGUGCCCAUCAUCAUCAGCCGAGCAGCUCUGAGUGUCCUAGUGCCCCUCAUCAUCAGCCGAGCAGCUCUGAGUGUCCUAGUGCCCAUUAUCAUCAGCCGAGCAGCUCUGAGUGUCCUAGUGCCCAUCAUCAUCAGCCGAGCAGCUCUGAGUGUCCUAGUGCCCCUCAUCAUCAGCCGAGCAGCUCUGAGUGUCCUAGUGCCCAUCAGUGUCCUAGUGCCCAUCAUCAUCAGCCGAGCAGCUCUGAGUGUCCUAGUGCCCAUCAUCAUCAGCCGAGCAGCUCUGAGUGUCCUAGUGCCCAUCAUCAUCAGCCGAGCAGCUCUGAGUGUCCUAGUGCCCAUCAUCAUCAGCCGAGCAGCUCUGAGUGUCCUAGUGCCCAUCAUCAUCAGCCGAGCAG